CCCUUAGAUGUUCUGGGCCGCACGCGUGCUACACUGACCGGCGCAACAAGCUUCUUUCCUUGACCGAUAGGUCUGGGUAAUCUUCGAACGCCGGUCGUGAUGGGGAUAGAUCCUUGCAAUUUUUGAUCUUCAACGAGGAAUUCCUAGUAAACGCGAGUCAUCAUCUCGCAUUGAUUACGUCCCUGCCCUUUGUACACACCGCCCGUCGCACCUACCGAUUGAAUGGUCCGGUGAAGCCUCCGGAUUGGCGCGCACCUCGGUGCCGCCGAGAAGUUGGCUAAACCUUACCAUUUAGAGGAAGGUGAAGUCGUAACA
rnacentral:rRNA from 1 species